UGAAAUUAUCUUCCAUUCCAUUCAUAAUUGGAUUACGAAAUUCCUUCGUUAUCAGUCCUACAUUUUGUUUGAGUGAUCUCUUUCAUCUGUCAUCCGCAUCUGACAAAGUGUUUUUGUUCUUCUUCGACAUGUCUUGGAGGUGUUGUGUUUCUGGUUGUGGUUCCGAAGGAGUACCUUUAUUUCGUAUUCCAAAAUGUAAUGAAAGUUUAAAAACUGCUUUGCAAGGAAAAAAAAGGAACGAAGAAUUGUUUGGCUUCAAAAGCUUAACGUGAAGGAAUGUGACUUAAACAACAACACUCGUGUUUGCUCUCGUCAUUUUGCAUCUGGUAGGCCAUGUAAGAAUUCUUUCUAUAACUCUCACCCAGACUGGACACCUUCACUACACAUCAUAAAUUCCGUUUGUGACAGGGUUUUACAGAGAAACAUUAGUCGACAUUCCAGAAGGCUUGAAAGGGAAUCAAGAACAUUGGAACAGAUCAAUGCUGUCGUAAACAAUGAAAAGAGUGCCGCCAAUAGACAAGAUAAUGAUGUGCCUAAUGCAGUGGUAAACAACGAACAUGAUGUACAGUAUAUUAAUGAAACAUUUUAUUGCUUUGUCGAAAAUCAUAACUAAAACUUUAUCUUUAUUUCUAGCAUAAUGAAAUACCAUGGGCAAUCUAUUUCACAUUUAACUAGUUUUUCUACAUACUGUCGUUUGUCUUUUUCAUU